rnacentral:antisense_RNA from 1 species
UGUGGGAGCGAGCCUGCUCGCGAAGGGGUCGGCACAUUCAGCAUAUAUGUUGACUGAACGCCGCCUUCGCGAGCAGGCUCGCUCCCACA